UGGGCUGGUCGAAAGAUCUGGGUCCACCACAAGGCGGGUAAGACACCC
rfam:Eubacterium sp. CAG:161 genomic scaffold, scf53